rnacentral:tRNA from 2 species
AAGGCUUUAAGUUAAAUAAACUAAUAGCCUUCAAAGCUAUAAAUAGAGUAAGUAUGCUUUAAGCCUUA